CGGACGGGUGAGUAACACGUGGAUAACCUACCUAUAAGACUGGGAUAACUUCGGGAAACCGGAGCUAAUACCGGAUAAUAUAUUGAACCGCAUGGUUCAAUGGUGAAAGACGGUUUUGCUGUCACUUAUAGAUGGAUCCGCGCCGCAUUAGCUAGUUGGUAAGGUAACGGCUUGCCAAGGCAACGAUGCGUAGCCGACCUGAGAGGGUGAUCGGCCACACUGGAACUGAGACACGGUCCAGACUCCUACGGGAGGCAGCAGAC
rnacentral:rRNA from 1 species